rnacentral:rRNA from 1 species
UUGUGCCAGCAGCCGCGGUAAUACGUAGGGUGCAAGCGUUAAUCGGAAUUACUGGGCGUAAAGCGUGCGCAGGCGGUUCGCUAAGACAGAUGUGAAAUCCCCGGGCUUAACCUGGGAACUGCAUUUGUGACUGGCGGGCUAGAGUAUGGCAGAGGGGGGUAGAAUUCCACGUGUAGCAGUGAAAUGCGUAGAGAUGUGGAGGAAUACCGAUGGCGAAGGCAGCCCCCUGGGCCAAUACUGACGCUCAAGCACGAAAGCGUGGGGAGCAAACAGGAUUAGAUACCCUGGUAGCCCACGCCCUAAACGAUGUCAACUAGUUGUCGGGUCUUCAUUGACUUGGUAACGUAGCUAACGCGUGAAGUUGACCGCCUGGGGAGUACGGUCGCAAGAUUAAAACUCAAAGAAAUUGACGGGA